rnacentral:rRNA from 1 species
UGGGGAAUCUUGCGCAAUGCGCGAAAGCGUGACGCAGCAACGCCGCGUGGGGGAUGAAGCUUCUCGGAGUGUAAACCCCUUUCGACCGGGACGAAUACCUCGCAAGAGGGGUGACGGUACCGGUAUAAGAAGCCCCGGCUAACUUCGUGCCAGCAGCCGCGGUAAUACGAAGGGGGCAAGCGUUGUUCGGAAUGACUGGGCGUAAAGGGCGCGUAGGCGGUUCGUUGCGUCAGAUGUGAAAGCCCCGGGCUCAACCUGGGAACUGCAUUUGAUACGGGCGGGCUUGAAUCCAAGAGAGGGUGGUGGAAUUCCCAGUGUAGAGGUGAAAUUCGUAGAUAUUGGGAAGAACACCAGUGGCGAAGGCGGCCACCUGGCUUGGUAUUGACGCUGAGGCGCGAAAGCGUGGGGAGCAAACAGGAUUAGAUACCC